UACGUAGGGCGCAAGCGUUUGUCCGGAAUUAUUGGGCGUAAAGAGCUCGUAGGCGGCUUGUCACGUCGGGUGUCGAAAGCCCGGGGGCUUAACCCCGGGUCUGCAUUCGAUACGGGCUAGCUAGAGUGUGGUAGGGGAGAUCGGAAUUCCUGGUGUAGCGGUGAAAUGCGCAGAUAUCAGGAGGAACACCGGUGGCGAAGGCGGAUCUCUGGGCCAUUACUGACGCUGAGGAGCGAAAGCGUGGGGAGCGAACAGG
rnacentral:rRNA from 1 species